AACGAACGCUGGCGGCAGGCUUAACACAUGCAAGUCGAGCGCCCCGCAAGGGGAGCGGCAGACGGGCGAGUAACGCGUGGGAAUCUACCCAUCUCUACAGAAUAACGCAUGGAAACGUGUGCUAAUACCGUAUACGUCCUUCGGGAGAAAGAUUUAUCGGAGAUGGAUGAGCCCGCGUUGGAUUAGCUAGUUGGUGGGGUAAAGGCCUACCAAGGCGACGAUCCAUAGCUGGUCUGAGAGGAUGAUCAGCCACACUGGGACUGAGACACGGCCCAGACUCCUACGGGAGGCAGCAGUGGGGAAUAUUGGACAAUGGGCGCAAGCCUGAUCCAGCCAGGCCGCGUGAGUGAUGAAGGCCCUAGGGUUGUAAAGCUCUUUCACCGGUGAAGAUAAUGACGGUAACCGGAGAAGAAGCCCCGGCUAACUUCGUGCCAGCCGCCGCCGUAAUAC
rnacentral:rRNA from 1 species